rnacentral:rRNA from 1 species
AGGUGACUUCUGCCCAGUGCUCUGAUUGUCAUGGCGAAGAGAUUCAGCCAAGCGCGGGUAAACGGCGGGAGUAAACUAUGACUCUCUUAAGGUAGCCAAAUGCCUCGUCAACCAAUUAUUGACGCGCAUGAAUGGAUCAACGAGAUUCCUGCUGUCCCUAGUUGCUGUCCGGUGAACCAACAGCCAAGGGAACGGGCUUGGGCGUGUCAGCGGGGAAAGAAGACCCUGUUGAGUUUGACUCUAGUUUGAUGCUGUGCAGCGACAUGUGGGGUGUAGCAUAGGUGGGAGGUGAGUGCCAUCGACACCCACCAAGAAGCUCUGUGCUGAACUGGCUUGUGAGUGCUCAACAAGGCCCCAGAGCCUUAUGAUGGUGCGACCCAGCAGUGAAAUACCACUACCUUCACCGUCGCUUUACUCAUCGAGUGGCUUGGGAACAGUGGCCAUUGGACAUCAGCCACUGCAAUGCUGUGGUGGCUGCGGCCUCAUCCUGCUUCGUGUGUCAAGCAUGGCUGGCUUGCUGGCUGUGUGACCCAGUGGAGUUACCUCCACCCUCAUUGGUGCCUCGGGACAAUGAUCAGUUGGGGAGUUUGGCUGGGGCGGCACGCCUGUUACAGGACAACGCAGGCGUCCUGAAGCAUUGCUCAGAUGGAACAGAAAUCCUCCGUGGAGGAGCAGGCCAAAGGUGCUGCUGAUGCUGCGACUUCCAGUACAAGUCCUCAAGACGCAAGUNUGGCCUUGCGAUCCUUUGGUCAANCAUNCGGGUUCNGGAUAUUGAAGCCAGAGGUGUCAGAAAAAUUACCACAGGGAUAACUGGCUUGUGGCUGCCAAGCGUUCAAAGCGACGUCGCUUUUUGAUCCUUCGAUGUCGGCUCUUCCUAGCUUCCCACCC